UCAGUCGCUUUUUGUCCAUGUAAUCAACCAUAUCUGCCUCGAUUUGAUUAAACAAGUUGCAGCGGCAUAAAAUUCAGCGACUGACUGCGUCGUGCCCGGCUGCCUGUUACUCACCCAGAAAAUGACAUGCUCUGCAUUUGCCAGAAAGGCUGCACGUGGGGUUGGAGAAGAGGGUCUGUGCGGCACCGGUGACACAGGCGUGGCUACCGAGUAAGGGCAAUUCCUUUACCCCUGGAUUGCUUUGGAUCUUCCCUGGAGGUGACCUGUAACAACAUGCACAAAAAAUUCCAUGAAGAUUCAUCCAAAGGAUGCCUAGAGUUCCCCCUGGUGAUUCCAGACAGCAGUAUACCGAGUCCACGUCUUCUGAGCACGAGAAAUUCAUUUAACCUUUGGAUAUUCUUCUCGGACCCAUUAACCUUUUGUAUGACCAUCACUGUUGUCACUAGUAGCUGGGCUGUCUUUGGUGUACUUAAGGAGCCUCUUAUUUGAACGUAGAUGCUAAAACCCUAAAUAAACUCUUAACUGGUUAAAGUUAAUACUG